CAAAAAAAAAGGUAGUAGUUAAUGCCGGUGGUUUUCUGCUCAUCCACCUCUGCCACUGCCGCCGUAUUCAAUUCUUCUCUUCUUCAUCUUCCUUUAAAACCCUAAAUUUCUCCUCCAUUUUCGGAUCAGUAGAUUGAAAAGAGGAAACCCAUAUCCUGAAUCUGCUCAUGGAGCUCUGCGCUUUCACCGAAACCCUGAAAUCCCAGCCAAUCUGGCUCCUCUCGCUCUUCGCCAUUGGCUCCAUCUCCGUUUUCAAGUUCCUCUUCUCGAUCCUCAGAUGGGUUUACAUCUACUUCCUCAGACCCGCCAAGAAUCUGCGCGAGUACGGAUCGUGGGCUCUCGUCACCGGACCCACCGACGGAAUCGGCAAGGCUUUCGCCUUUCAGUUGGCCGGGAAAGGCUUCAACCUCGUACUCGUGGGUCGGAACCCCGACAAGCUGAGGGAUGUCUCCGACGCGAUCCGGUCCAAGUACGGUAACACCCAGAUCAAGACCGUGGUCAUGGAUUUCGCCGGAGAUCUCGACGAGGGUGUGAAACGGAUCAAGGAAACGAUCGAGGGUCUGGACGUCGGGAUUCUGAUCAACAAUGCCGGGAUUUCGUACCCGUACGCGAGGUACUUCCACGAGGUCGACGAGGAAUUGCUUAGAAAUCUGAUCAAAGUCAACAUUGAAGGGACCACGAAGGUUACACAUGCUGUUCUUCCCAAUAUGCUGGAGAGGAAACGAGGUGCAAUCAUCAAUAUGGGUUCUGGUGCUGCAGCUCUAAUCCCUUCCUAUCCGUUCUACUCCAUUUAUGCCGGCGCCAAAACGUACGUGGACCAGUUCACAAAAUCUCUGCAUGUAGAGUACAAAAAGAGUGGGAUUGAUGUUCAAUGCCAGGUUCCGUUGUAUGUUGCGACAAAGAUGACGUCGAUAAGAAGAGCUUCGUUCAUGGUGGCAUCGCCAGAGGGAUAUGCAAGGGCGGCUCUCCGUUUCGUAGGGUACGGACCACGGGCCACGCCUUACUGGCCUCACUCCCUCAUGGGUUCGGUCAUCUCCGCAUUGCCUGAAAGCAUUUUCGAGUCUUUCAACGUUAAGAGGUGCCUCCAGAUUCGGAAAAAAGGCCAACUCAAAGAUUCCCGGAAAAACCAGUGACAGAUUCAUCCGACGUAUCUUUUUAAGCCGAGAGAGAGCACCAACAGGCUGGAUGGCUCCCAAACCCAUAGUGUACAUCGACACGAGCCUCGGCACACACCUCGUCAUGGCCCUCCACAUCCGCGAGACCGUCUCCAGCUUUAAGAUUACAGAUAGAUUGCUCGAUGAUCACCGGCUUAGCUUUCCAGAUUUUGGAGACAUCGAAAUUUCUGGUCUCAAGGUGAAAGACAGAUCAUCAGAUUGCUUUUAUAACCUCUCAGACACUAUGUUCGUGACGGAGGCUUUGGAAGAAAUCUUUAGAUAUGCAAGCAACUAUUAUCUUUUUCUCGAGGUCAAGAAAGUUGUGAAGAAGGGAGAGAAUCUUCAGCUCCAUCGUCUUCAGUUCUUCCGAAUUCCACCAGGUACAGUUUUUGAUUUGGAGAUUUUGGAUUUAUGUUUAAAAUAGCUUUGGAAUUAGUUAUGCAAGUAGAUGGUAAUGGUAACAACACAACCUCAUUGGAACUGGAGCACGUUUAAGUGAUUUGUAGUAAGAGAAGAGAUUAUAAUGCAUUGCAAAUCCUUUGGUUGAUUGAAGUUGAUGUAUAUGUUUAAUCGAAAGCGCGAGGCAUAAAUCAUGUUUCUUGAUUCGUCAGCACAGGAAUACCCAUUUGAUCGAUUUCUUGCUGGAGAAUCUGUGACAUGAACGUACACAAUUUUCUAAUCUUAGGGCUAUAUUAUUUUCGGGUUUGUUCUCAUCGAUCGGAUUAGAUGGGUUGUCCUCUAAUGGUGUACGUUCCGUUGUAAGUUGCGAUAAAGAUGGCGGCAAAGGCAGCUCUCCGUCUCGUGGGGUUCGAGCCGUGGUCCACUCCUUACUGGCCUCACUCUCUCGUGGCUGCAGCCAUUUCUGAUUUGCCCGAAAGCGUUUUGGAGUGUCAAGAGGUCCUUCAGAUUCGGAAGAAAGUGUGUUUGUGUUUUUUUUUCCUGCAAGUUUCUCUUUUCUUAUCAAAGACUCGAAUGUCAAUCGGUUUAACCAAAAAAAAAACUCGAAUGUCAAUCGGUUUAGUUCGGUUCAGUUUAGUGUUGGUUUUAUUC